rnacentral:rRNA from 1 species
AUUGAACGCUGGCGGCAGGCCUAACACAUGCAAGUCGAACGGUAACAGGAAGAAGCUUGCUUCUUUGCUGACGAGUGGCGGACAGGUGAGUAAUGUCUGGGAAACUGCCUGAUGGAGGGGGAUAACUACUGGAAACGGUAGCUAAUACCGCAUAACGUCGCAAGACCAAAGAGGGGGACCUUCGGGCCUCUUGCCAUCGGAUGUGCCCAGAUGGGAUUAGCUAGUAGGUGGGGUAACGGCUCACCUAGGCGACGAUCCCUAGCUGGUCUGAGAGGACGACCAGCCACACUGGAACUGAGACACGGUCCAGACUCCUACGGGAGGCAGCAGUGGGGAAUAUUGCACAAUGGGCGCAAGCCUGAUGCAGCCAUGCCGCGUGUAUGAAGAAGGCCUUCGGGUUGUAAAGUACUUUCAGCGGGGAGGAAGGGAGUAAAGUUAAUACCUUUGCUCAUUGACGUUACCCGCAGAAGAAGCACCGGCUAACUCCGUG